rnacentral:rRNA from 1 species
GAUGAACGCUGGCGGCGUGCCUAAUACAUGCAAGUCGAGCGAACGGACGAGAAGCUUGCUUCUCUGAUGUUAGCGGCGGACGGGUGAGUAACACGUGGAUAACCUACCUAUAAGACUGGGAUAACUUCGGGAAACCGGAGCUAAUACCGGCUAAUAUUUUGAACCGCAUGGUUCAAAAGUGAAAGACGGUCUUGCUGUCACUUAUAGAUGGAUCCGCGCUGCAUUAGCUAGUUGGUAAGGUAACGGCUUACCAAGGCAACGAUGCAUAGCCGACCUGAGAGGAUGAUCGGCCACACUGGAACUGAGACACGGUCCAGACUCCUACGGGAGGCAGCAGUAGGGAAUCUUCCGCAAUGGGCGAAAGCCUGACGGAGCAACGCCGCGUGAGUGAUGAAGGUCUUCGGAUCGUAAAACUCUGUUAUUAGGGAAGAACAUAUGUGUAAGUAACUGUGCACAUCUUGACGGUACCUAAUCAGAAAGCCACGGCUAACUUCGUG